rnacentral:rRNA from 1 species
UACGGGGGGAGCAAGCGUUGUUCGGAUUUACUGGGCGUAAAGGGCGCGUAGGCGGCCUCUGCAAGUCGACUGUGAAAUCUCCGAGCUUAACCCGGAAAGGUCAGCCGAUACUGCAGGGCUAGAGUGCAGAAGGGGCAACUGGAAUUCUCGGUGUAGCGGUGAAAUGCGUAGAUAUCGAGAGGAACACCUGCGGCGAAGGCGGGUUGCUGGGCUGACACUGACGCUGAGGCGCGAAAGCUAGGGGAGCGAACGGG